UACGUAGGUGGCAAGCGUUGUCCGGAUUUACUGGGCGUAAAGGGUGCGUAGGUGGAUGUUUAAGUCAGAUGUGAAACCCCUGGGCUCAACUCAGGGACUGCAUUUGAAACUGGUAUUCUUGAGUGUCGGAGAGGAAAGUGGAAUUCCAAGUGUAGCGGUGAAAUGCGUAGAGAUUUGGAAGAACACCAGUGGCGAAGGCAGCUUACCGGGGUACAACUGACGCUGAUGCACGAAAGUGUGGGUAUCAAAC
rnacentral:rRNA from 1 species